rnacentral:rRNA from 1 species
AUUGAACGCUGGCGGAAUGCUUUACACAUGCAAGUCGAACGGCAGCACGGACUUCGGUCUGGUGGCGAGUGGCGAACGGGUGAGUAAUGUAUCGGAACGUGCCCAGUCGUGGGGGAUAACGCAGUGAAAAUUACGCUAAUACCGCAUACGAUCUAUGGAUGAAAGAGGGGGAUCGCAAGACCUCGCGCGAUUGGAGCGGCCGAUAUCAGAUUAGGUAGUUGGUGGGGUAAAGGCCCACCAAGCCAACGAUCUGUAGCUGGUCUGAGAGGACGACCAGCCACACGGGAACUGAGACACGGUCCAGACUCCUACGGGAGGCAGCAGUGGGGAAUGUUGGACAAUGGGCGAAAGCCUGAUCCAGCCAUUCCGCGUGCAGGAUGAAGGCCCUCGGGUUGUAAACUGCUUUUGUACAGAACGAAAAGGUUUCUACUAAUACUAGGAGCUCAUGACGGUACUGUAAGAAUAAGCACCGGCUAACUACGUGCCAGCCGCCGCAGUAA